rnacentral:rRNA from 1 species
AACGAACGCUGGCGGCAGGCUUAACACAUGCAAGUCGAGCGCCCCGCUAGGGGAGCGGCAGACGGGUGAGUAACGCGUGGGAAUCUACCCAUCUCUACGGAAUAACGCAUGGAAACGUGUGCUAAUACCGUAUACGUCCUUCGGGAGAAAGAUUUAUCGGAGAUGGAUGAGCCCGCGUUGGAUUAGCUAGUUGGUGGGGUAAAGGCCUACCAAGGCGACGAUCCAUAGCUGGUCUGAGAGGAUGAUCAGCCACACUGGGACGGAGACACGGCCCAGACUCCUACGGGAGGCAGCAGUGGGGAAUAUUGGACAUUGGGCGCAAGCCUGAUCCAGCCAUGCCGCGUGAGUGAUGAAGGCCCUAGGGUUGUAAAGCUCUCUCACCGGUGAAGAUAAUGACGGUAACCGGAGAAGAAGCCCCGGCUAACUUCGUGCCAGCAGCCGCCGUAAAAC